rnacentral:rRNA from 1 species
CCUACGGGAGGCAGCAGUGGGGAAUAUUGCACAAUGGGGGAAACCCUGAUGCAGCGACGCCGCGUGAGUGAAGAAGUAAUUCGUUAUGUAAAGCUCUAUCAGCAGGGAAGAAAAUGACGGUACCUGAGUAAGAAGCCCCGGCUAACUACGUGCCAGCAGCCGUGGUAAUACGGAGGGGGCAAGCGUUAUCCGGAUUUACUGGGUGUAAAGGGAGCGUAGACGGCUGUUGAAGUCUGUAGUGAAAGGCGGGGGCUCAACCGCAGGACUGCUGUUGAAACUGUAAGGCUGGAGUGCAGGAGAGGUAAGUGGAAUUCGUGGUGUAGCGGUGAAAUGCGUAGAUAUCAGGAGGAACACCGAUGGCGAAGGCGGCUUGCUGGACUGUAACUGACGUUGAGGCUCGAAAGCGUGGGGAGCAAACAGGAUUAGAUACCCUAGUAGUC